GGGGAAUAUUGGACAAUGGGGGCAACCCUGAUCCAGCCAUGCCGCGUGAAUGAUGAAGGCCUUCGGGUUGUAAAGUUCUUUUGGUGGGGACGAUGAUGACGGUACCCACAGAAUAAGCUCCGGCUAACUUCGUGCCAGCAGCCGCGGUAAUACGAAGGGAGCUAGCGUUGUUCGGAAUUACUGGGCGUAAAGGGUGCGUAGGCGGUUAGACAAGUCAGAUGUGAAAGCCCCGGGCUCAACCUGGGAACUGCGUUUGAUACUGUUUUACUAGAAUUCGGUAGAGGUGAGUGGAAUUUCCAGUGUAGAGGUGAAAUUCGUAGAUAUUGGAAAGAACACCGGUGGCGAAGGCGGCUCACUGGACCGACAUUGACGCUGAGGCACGAAAGCGUGGGGAGCAAAC
rnacentral:rRNA from 1 species